GGUAAGAUGGCUGAAGUAAGCGCAAGAUUGUAGCCCCUGUUAUAAAGGUUAGAGUCCUUUUCUUACCA
rnacentral:tRNA from 3 species